AUGUAUUCAUGUAAUCACAGAACUAUAUCGACAUGUAACUAAGUACAUGUUUAUAAUCUAAAUCUACCCACAAUUAUUAAAAGGUGCUAUUUUCAAAGGAGUUAUGAAGUUUUGACUUGAUGGAAGACUUAAGUGUGGUAAAGAAAAUAUUAUAUUCAUAGGUCAAUGUUAAGA